rnacentral:rRNA from 1 species
GACGAACGCUGGCGGCGUGCUUAACACAUGCAAGUCGAACGCUGAAGCUCAGCUUUUGUUGGGUGGAUGAGUGGCGAACGGGUGAGUAACACGUGAGUAACCUGCCCCCUUCUUUGGGAUAACGCCCGGAAACGGGUGCUAAUACUGGAUAUUCACUGGUCUUCGCAUGGGGGUUGGUGGAAAGGGUUUUUCUGGUGGGGGAUGGGCUCGCGGCCUAUCAGCUUGUUGGUGGGGUGAUGGCCUACCAAGGCUUUGACGGGUAGCCGGCCUGAGAGGGUGACCGGUCACAUUGAGACUGAGAUACGGCCCAGACUACGACGAGAGGCAGCAGUGGGGAAUAUUGCACAAUGGGCGCAAGCCUGAUGCAGCGACGCCGCGUGAGGGAUGGGGGCCUUCGGGUUGUGAACCUCUUUCGCUCAUGGUCAAGCCGCAACAAUGGUUGUGGUGAGGGUAGUGGGUAAAGAAGCGCCGGCUAACUACGUG